UACGUAGGGGGCAAGCGUUAUCCGGAUUUACUGGGUGUAAAGGGGGCGCAGACGGCGAUGCAAGCCAGGAGUGUAAGCCCGGGGCCCAACCCCGGGACUGCUCUUGGAACUGCGUGGCUGGAGUGCAGGAGGGGCAGGCGGAAUUCCUGGUGUAGCGGUGAAAUGCGUAGAUAUCAGGAGGAACACCGGUGGCGAAGGCGGCCUGCUGGACUGCAACUGACGUUGAGGCCCGAAAGCGUGGGGAGCAAACAGG
rnacentral:rRNA from 1 species